CCGCCCAAUGCGCCGCCCACACCUGCUUCGGCAGUACCACCGGCAGAAGCGAUGCCACUGGCCAGGCUAAGGGACAACAAGAGAAUGGAGGAGAACUUCAUAGAGGAGCCUCAAAGGGAUGACGGCGCGAUCCUGAGGCUGGCUUCGCUUGGUUACAAUAGAAAUCCGACGAGUAACACGACUUGUGCACAAUUCUCUAAGUUAUUGUUUUUUAGCGGGAACUUAACGUGAAAUGGCCGGUCUUUAGCUACUUCAGACAGGCCGUUUUCUAGGGAAAACGGCCUUUUUUGUGCCCGUUCGAAAAGUAUGCUUGUGGGAGCAAAGCUGUGUGGGAGCAAAGCUUGCUCGCGACACCGGCAGACUCUAUUUCUGCAAGACCGCAUCGCUUUCAUCGCGGG
rnacentral:sRNA from 1 species